rnacentral:lncRNA from 1 species
CUGCUGUUGACAGGACUGUACUGAUCCUCAGCAGCUGAAUGCAAUGGGGUGUAUCGAUUGGACCAAAUUAAUCAUUACACAGAUGCCUUUAAUGUCAUCAUUAAAUCAAUUUGGAGUUUGCUUACAUUUUUGAUGACUCCUAAGUAAUUGCCAAAGUUAUCUAGGGAGGAAGGUUCAUGUAAAUGACAUGGUGUCCACAGUCCACAGGUGGGGAUGAAAAGUCGUUCCUUUUCUGGAGUCUCUCACCAUCUGGAGCUCUGAAAAAAAGCAAAACACUUUUUUAUUGUGGUACUGCCAUUUGGACUCCAUUGAAAAAACAAACAAACAAACAAACAAACAGAGUUACUGGAGGAAGAAUCCGAUUCUAGAGGAAUUAUUUUAACUCUGACUUCAGCGGACCUUGGAAAGGAUCCUGAAUUUGAAAUACAUCAUUCUGCCAUCUUAGAAACACAUUUGGCACACCCUGUUUGAAGAUAUCAUAAACGGCAUAUAUGAUCUUUUAUUCAUAAUCUACUGUUGCAGCUGAUACUGUUGGAUUUAACUGUGGUUUUUCGUCAUAGAUAAAUGCAUUCUUUAAAGGGCUUUGAACCAUUUUUAAGUAUGAAUGUACUGUACAGUGUUUUAUGACAACUGGUUGAUUAGCCCUGAUUUGUUUUUCUUUUGGAAGUUUUCUUUUCAUGUGUGUAUGAAGCUGUGCAUUAUAUUUACUUUCCAGCAUCAGUGACACCAAAAGCUAAAAAGCUACUCACAAAAUCAGCUACCAAAAGUCAUUGCUGGAUUUGUUUCCUUUUGCUUUGCAUCUGCUUGGCUACCAUUUCUGAUAUAUUAGAGGAAUUUGUAAACACACAUAUCAAAGAAAUUAAUCAAAACAGCCUCGUGCUAUUGUGUAUAUUUGACCCACGGUGUUUAUUUAAUCUCUGGUCUACAUUACACCGGAAGCCAGAUUUUACGGAUUGACAAAAUUGCAAUCAAAGAUUGCAAAGACACAGUGUGACACAGCUCAGUGGCUGGCAGCGGGUGGCCACAGCAGCCUGGGAUAAAUGUUGGUUGUUCCCUGAAUAUACUGGUUUUCAUGCUCCAGUGUUUUCUUUCCUCUUCUCAGCCCUCAUCUGUGCACUCCUGCCCUUCUGCAGGUGACCUCUGGUGCUCAGUGGGAACCACGAUGAGGUCUGAGCUAAAUCACUGCUGACUCUAACUGCAGCCACAAUAACGUAGAGUGACACUAAGUUAUUACAGUAACUGCUAUCCUUAAAAUCUAUGAAACUGUGUGAAAUUUAUGAAUUGUGAAAGCAGUUGCAUACAUGAAUAAGACAAUUCACUUGAGUAAUCCUAAUUUUAGUGCUAUUGAUUGUGUAUUCCUUUGGAAGA